rnacentral:rRNA from 1 species
GGCCUUCGGGAGCCAGAACACAGGUGCUGCAUGGCUGUCGUCAGCUCGUGUCGUGAGAUGUUGGGUUAAGUCCCGCAACGAGCGCAACCCUUGUCAUUAGUUGCCAUCAUUUAGUUGGGCACUCUAAUGAGACUGCCGGUGACAAACCGGAGGAAGGUGGGGAUGACGUCAAGUCCUCAUGGCCCUUAUGGGUAGGGCUUCACACGUCAUACAAUGGUCGGUACAGAGGGUUGCCAAGCCGCGAGGUGGAGCCAAUCCCUUAAAGCCGAUCGUAGUCCGGAUCGUAGUCUGCAACUCGACUACGUGAAGUCGGAAUCGCUAGUAAUCGCAGAUCAGCACGCCGCGGUGAAUACGUUCCCGGGCCUU